rnacentral:misc_RNA from 1 species
GGAACGAUCAGUCUUCGCUACCCUUACUGCAACAGCGUGCCCAAAAAUUGAAGGCGGUGACACACAGACGCAACUUCUGGCUGGGAGUCUCUCGUGUAUCCGUACGUGCCGCAGAGGCAGACACACCGCAGAACGGAAGGACACCCCGUCCGUUGCAAGCGCGUUCGGACCAGGCACUCGAAAAGCAGCACGACGCAGGACACUUGGAGACAGAAGUUGAUUCCUCCCUUCAUCUUGCAGCCCCUUUUCAUAGGCCAGACAAUGGAAAUCCACAAGUCCACGAACCUGCUGGACGGCUUCCUGUCGUCGCUGUCCAUGAUUCUUGUGAGUGAGAUUGGUGACAAGACCUUCUUCAUCGCGUGCCUCAUGGCGAUGCGCCACCCGAAGCUGACGGUAUACAUUGGCGCCCUCGGCGCCCUAGCUGCAAUGACGAUACUGUCGGCGCUGAUGGGCGUCGUGGUGCCCAACCUGCUCUCUGUGCAGGUGACGCAGAUGCUGGCGGUGGUGCUCUUUAUGGUGUUUGGCUGCAAGAUCCUGUACGACGAGCUGAUCCGCAAGAAGGCUGACGACGAGGAGAGCGAGGACGAGAUGACGGAGGCUGCUGCGGCGUUGCGCCGUCGCGAUCCGAACGAUCCGGCUGAGACGGGUAGCAUGGCGUCGUCGGCCUACGUAAGCGCGCCGGCUCGCCGCUGGCGCAAGCUGCUCAACCCCGUCAUGGUAGAGGCGUUCACGCUAACCUUCGUUGCCGAAUGGGGAGACCGCAGCCAGCUGGCUACGAUUGCGCUGGCAGCCGCGAAGAACCCGUACGGUGUGACAGUCGGCGGUAUUCUCGGCCACGCUCUCUGCACCGGCGGCGCCGUUGUGUGCGGCAACCUCAUCGCGCAGCGCGUGUCCAUGAAGACGGUGAACAUCGUUGGCGGCGUUCUUUUUAUCAUGUUCGGUCUCGUGACCUUGUACGAACUGACUUAUGGGGAGCAUGAGAUCUCCAAGACCCACGAGCGCCCCGCGAGGACGGAGUAGUCAGUGCGGAAGGGGUAAGCACACACACGUUCACAGGCAGCACCUCACAGCGCCGCCGCGCAGCUUCACGACAGCACAGAGGAUUGUGUCCAUUGCGCGCUCUCUCUCCUGCCUCCUCUCCCUGCCUCCAAGCACUUUUUUGUUCUGCUCUAAACGGGUUUCGUUGUGACUACGUUGUCUCACUCUCUCUCGUUGCCGUUAUGUGCCUGUGUGCCGCUCCGCUUCUCUUGCUGGCUGGUGUUGCUUGUCAGAUAGCAGCAGCCCUCCCCAACCCGUUUCUCCUUUGGACGUUCGACUUUUUCCUUUUUUUUGCUUUCCAUCCCGUUGCGUUGUUACCGCACGUAGUUGCUUGCAUGCGGCAGGCGCCCCCUACCCCUCUCCCUCGUCGAGUGCAUGCCCUCCGCCCGCCCCUGCCCUCCUCCUUGUAUGGCUUUCUUCCACGGUCAUCCAUGAGGAGCGACUAAGGUAAAGCGCGCGCGGAUGGGGGGGCGUCUGUGCGUGUGCGCAUGAAAGAGAGCGAGAGCGAGGGGAAGGGAGGGGGGCCGAGCAGGCGCUGCGGCUUUUCUCACUGAUUAUCUCGUCCUUUAUGGAGCACUCGUGUGUGUGUCUGCGUUUUCGUCGCUGUUCUUCAUUGCUCUUUCUUCUUGGUGCUGUCGCGUCUCUGUCCGCUGGAUUCAUUCCCUGCCACUGCUGUGUAGGUCCGUUCAACCGGCGAGUGUCGGACUUCUCGUCUCUUCGGGGAUCAUGGCAGUGGCGAGCACCCUUUGCGCGUGCGUCAUGUGGUUGGUGGCAGAGCGAUGCCCCUUUCAGCCGAGGCCACUUGCCAGGUCUCUCUGUUUGAUCUUUAUGUUCUUUCUUUUUCUUCUUUGAACGCCGCCCUGAUGACAGGGGAUACCCUUCAACGCGUGGCAUCUCAGGGUCUGGCACACCCGCCCUCUGUGGGGCAGCUGAGUAGCCCCCCGCCCCUGUCCCCCGCCAGUGCCGAAGCACUUCUGCUGCUGGUAGGGCCAGGCACCUACGGCGUGUGGGAGGUCAGAGCGACUUAUCGCUACUGAUGUCGGCAUCCAGGUCGUAUAUAACGCUGCGCCGGAGCGAUCUGCGACUGUGAACACGACUGUGCCAUCCAUAUGGUAGGCGACGUGUGAGCGUGACUCGAGCGUAUCUCGCCCAGCCCUCACUGCCCUGCUGGUGGGGUGGGGCGCCUGUGUGCCACCCGGAGGGUGAUGCGCCGGGUGGCGAGCAGCACAAUGGGAAGCGACUGUGAGGCAGCCUGCUUGGUGGGCGGGUGGGCAGAGUUUGAGGCAGAGACGGCGCUCCGAUGACUGUGUCGGCGCAUUGCUGUAACGCGCUUCUAGCGCUGCUUCGCACCGCGCGGAAUGGGGGCCUGUGGCAGGCCGGGCGAUGGAGUGGUGUGACGUUCCGCUCGUGCUGUAUGGCGGAGACCGUAUACGCUUAGAAAUGAAAGGAGAAUAAGCCUAGCGACAUGAAGAUUUAAGAAGGGAAUGGGUGGGGAGUAUGAAGGAGAAGAUGAAACAGGGCGGAGAGGGCAGCGUACAGACGUGGCUUGCGAUUAGGUGCCUUUACUUGUGGCUCGCCUCCAUCCUUGCAUCGAGGGCGUGCACGUGCUGUGCCUCGCUGCUCUCUUCUCUCUCGCGCGUAUUCUUUCGGUCCAUCUCUGUCUUUUCCCUCCCUCACCGGUACGGUAAACUCU